UGUUCAGUGGCUUAGUUGGUUAAAGCGCCGGACUAGCGGUACGGAAUCGUAGGUUCGAAUCCCAUCAAUACAA
rfam:Aedes albopictus isolate Foshan contig98091, whole genome shotgun sequence.